GCCACAGACAAUCCAAACAGGAAGGUGUACUGCAGAAGAGAGCACACACAGGUUAAAACAGCACGUUAUUAAACAGGUAAUCCCAUAGAAACGCAAGCUUUGUGGCUGUGGGUUUUGCCGUCAGGGUUUCUCCCGACGUGUCACAGUAAGACGCUGAAGGACAGCAGCAAUGAUAACGGGACACUGAUAGCAGAAUGGAGAUUUUUAUAUAUUGCCAUAUGGUCAUCUUGCCACCCUUGGCAUCUUCUAAAGACUCUGAAUAUUUGGUUCAUUUCUGUCAAGGUAAGAAACUAAGCAGAGGUCACUGUGUGAGGAGGGAUGUCCGCAGUGCGUUCAGUCAAAUGAGCGACGUCAGCAUUCUAACAAUGACUCCUAGUCACAAGUCAUCGAUUGUUUAAGAAAGUUCUGCGAAAAAGAUAAAGGUUAUGGCAUUUAACAACAGUCUGAUAGCAUUUUGAGAUAAAGUUCAGAGAUACGCACUGCUCAAUUCUUGAGGCAUAGAUAGUGUUUGAGUCAUUAAGAUUGAAUGUUAUUUAAAUGUCAGAGAACAACGUUAGAAAAGUGUCAUACAGGCAGCAGUAGGGUGGAUUGCAAGGUGGCAGAGUGUGUGUUUGUGUGUGUGUGUGUGUGUGUGUGUGUGUGUGUGUGUGUGUGUGUGUGUGUGUUUGGUGCAGGGAUUCAUACAUGCGUGUUGGUACACAGGUUUGCAACGUCUCCUUAUCACGAGGAGAGCUGAGAAACACCGCUGACAGGAUGCGACUCAGAUUUACAUCAUGAUUGGAAAUUUAUAUUGAAAAUUUGUUGCAACAGCUGUAGGAGUUCACCCUACAAUCGGUGGAUCGCCGGUUCAAUUCCCGC